UGUGAAGGUGCAUUCUUACAAAUUUUCUGCUCAUGUUAGUUUAGCCCCUGGCUGCAUUAUACAGACAACAUAUUUAGAUACUUUUGAUUAUAAAGAUCUCUGACAUGAUCAUAUUGUUAUUUUCAGCUUUUGGAUUUGCAUAUAAUGCUGACACCACAUGGACUCUGAAGGAAGUUGUGCUAACUGCUAAGCUUUCCCUGCUUUUCCAGGUUGUGUAUUUCAUUGAUGGAGGAGGUAUAAAUCUGUUCCUUAAAGCGAGCAAAUCAAAACAAAAACGCAGGAGGUAUCCGACAACACUGACGACCGCUACGCCAUUCCACUUAGACCUGAAGGCAACAUCAAAGGAUGCCACCGGCAGCAGAGAUCAACAAGUUCUUCACCGUCGGGGAGAAGGUACAAAAUUGGACAUCAUGUGAGGUGUUAUGCUCAACCCUAGCCAGUUCAAAGGCAACACUGGUGGUGGUCCUCUGAGUAUGCAAAUGACAUAGAGUGGGCACUGCAAUAAUACAUGCUAAUAGGUGCAGUUUCAUCUCGAGCAGACGAGCACUGCAAUAGUACAUGCUACUCUCAGCGACUACUAACGUGAAGUUGCACUCAGGCUCUCGCAUAUACUAAAGAGUGCGGCUUUUGGACAUCCUUAGCACGAUAAGCCCAAACACGAAGAUUAGAUGCCACCUUGGAUUUGUCUCGUUGUUAACUUGUGGUCAUUAAACACAUAUAUAUUGUGCUCUAUCCAUAUGCUCUAGAGCAAACAAGCAAUGAUAGUGGACUGCAGUUUCUGGGGUAUCACGCCCAUUUA